rnacentral:rRNA from 1 species
AGAGUUUGAUCCUGGCUCAGGACGAACGCUGGCGGCGUGCUUAACACAUGCAAGUCGAACGGCAGCACAGGGAGCUUGCUCCCGGGUGGCGAGUGGCGCACGGGUGAGUAAUACAUCGGAACGUGUCCUGUUNUGGGGGAUAACUGCUCGAAAGGGUGGCUAAUACCGCAUGAGACCUGAGGGUGAAAGCGGGGGAUCGUAAGACCUCGCGCAAUUGGAGCGGCCGAUGCCCGAUUAGCUAGUUGGUGAGGUAAAGGCUCACCAAGGCGACGAUCGGUAGCUGGUCUGAGAGGACGACCAGCCACACUGGGACUGAGACACGGCCCAGACUCCUACGGGAGGCAGCA